UGCCAGCAGCCGCGGUAAUACUGAGGGUGCAAGCGUUAAUCGGAAUUACUGGGCGUAAAGCGAGUGUAGGCGGCUUCGUAAGUCGGAUGUGAAAGCCCUGGGCUUAACCUGGGAAUGGCAUUCGAUACUGCGCGGCUAGAGUCUGAUAGAGGGAAGUGGAAUUCCAGGUGUAGCGGUGAAAUGCGUAGAGAUCUGGAGGAACACCAGUGGCGAAGGCGGCUUCCUGGAUCAAGACUGACGCUGAGGCUCGAAAGCGUAGGGAGCAAACAGGAUUAGAUA
rnacentral:rRNA from 1 species